rnacentral:lncRNA from 1 species
CUAUCAUUUUCUGUGAGUGUGACAAGUUUACGUUGAUGAUAUUUUGCAACAGCCCAAUGAUGGAGAUAGGUUUCAUGCAGAGGUAUAGGAUUACCAGCUUCAUCAACUACUUCAGCAUCGAAACUCUUGAGUGCUACAUGACCUCUUGGAAAAUCAAUAUCAUAAUAAUAUCUAUUGCUAACUGAUCCAGGUCCUAGCUCAAAUUUAGGGGACAAAAAAACAGCUGAUUUUAUCUUAGCUUCAGUCUUCACAAAAGAACUUGAGCAUGGUGUGCUCAACAACAGCACAAGUAUUGACAGUGAAAAUACCAACUCUCUAGGUACAAACCACAUAUUGAUCUGUCAGACAAAUGUUUAUCAGUAAUUAGUAACUAAUUAUUGAGUAAAAGGAUAUUAAACAGCAGAUUAUGAAAAAUGUAUUGUCUUCAUCAAACUCACUUACAUGUCAGUACAAUAAUAUUCUGCAAUUAAAUGGCGGUCCAGUGGGCCAGAUACUGGUGGUGAAAACCAAAAAAUAUAAAUGAGUCUAAUAAUCAAAAGGUAAAUAUUGCAAAGUAGUGUCUUCUUAGGAAACCUCUGAAGAAUUGAAUUAAGAUACAAAGUAAACAAGCAUGAACAGAGUUUGCAAAUUGCACAGCAAAGGGCAAGAGAAUAUAAUGUGAGAUCCAUUCACCAAAUAAACUACACAAAUAAGCAUGAAAAAGAAUAGUUUGAACACAAUCAUGAUCAAGGUUUUAAAUCACAGUCAUGUUAUGAUGCAGCUAAAUACUGUUGAUGCAAGCAGCUUCAAUUGCAAUCACAACAGACAUUAAAAAAAAUAAUGUUAUGAUUAGAAUUGUUGUCACAGAACAGAACUUUUUUUUUUUUACUAACAGAACAGAACAUUUUAGAAACCUUAAUUAUAACAUAAACUGAUGACCUAUGAAGCCAAAAUACUUGAUACGAUACGGAUACGACACGGAUAUAGCGAUACCGUAAAAUCUGAAGAUUUAAGAUACUACAUAGCCAAGAUACUUUAAUAAAAAGUUAAAUUAAAAUAAAAUAUUCACUACUUAAGUGAAUCCGAAGGAGCCCAAAGUAUGAACAUUUCUCAACCCGCGCCUACCCACUUUCUCACCCACCUCUGGAAAUUCCAUUUUUGCCCUUAGUCAAAAAAUUCGGAAUGUGUUUUCCUAUGGAAAAACAGGGGGUGGGUGAGAAAGUGGGUAGAUCACACCAAAAUUAAGAUAUUGGAUCAUUUGAAACAGACAUGAAUUGCAAAACUAUAAAUUUUGAGGAACAUAAAGAAACAAUAUGAAACAUCAACAUGUGUAAGAGAUUGCGUACCUGGAAAAGAUUGACGAGAAAGUUAGAGUGUUUCGAAUUUCGAUAUGAAUGAAAGUAGAUUGAUUCGGUUAUUUAUAGAUGAAGACGAAAUAAAAAUGAACGUGUUGAGAACCGGCCACGUGAGAAAUUGAGAACGUUUUUCACAACCUUUCAUUUUUAUAUUUUUUAUUUUUUAUCAAAAGUGGCUAAAAGUGAAACAACAACAACAAGAAACAAAAAAAAGUCACAGCCUUUCAUUUCAUUUCACACUCGAGAGUCGAGAUGGAAAGUUUUCAGUCCUAAUUAGAAACUCGUAUUCAUUUGGUUCUUUCUUCAUUUGGAUUCGAGACAAAUAUUUUAUGGGGAUCCGUAUAAUCUGAUUUGGAGGUCCGUUCUAACAUUAAGUGGUUUCAGCCCCUCUGAUAGCAGUUGUGUGGAUGGAACUGUGGUCCUCCUACCAAAUCUGGCGCCAAAAUGAUUAAUAUUUGUAAGUUCAAUUUUGAACAACUUUAGAAACAACUUUAUUAUUUUCUCCCUCCCUCCUGUCUUUCUUUAUUAUUUUUGUCCUGAAGGGAAAAUAUUAUGGAACAAUUGUUUAUUUGAGUCAUCUAACAUGAUUUCCCCCUUUUAACUGAUCUCAGUAUUUGCUUUAGAUAACAUGGUUAAGCAAAGCUGAGCUGUAGGAAUCGAAUGAAUAGUUAUUUAAGGACCAAAGGUAUCAAAUUCAAAUCCAUCAUUGUAGUGCAAAAAAUGAAGGUACGUAAUGUAUAUUAUAUAAUUCAUAACCCCCAUCAUAUUGUUACUUCCUCUAUUGUUAAUUUGGAAAAUGAACAUGCACCUUGAAUUCAAUAUCAGGUCAUCCCAUAAAAUGUCUCUAUGUAACUGAGGAAGUAACAACGGCUAGAGACUAGAGUUGAGACGAAGUUGCAACCGGAGGGCGCAGCAAUGAUAGAGCUGUGAAUGACGAUGCGGAGGCGGCCGAUGAAGAAAUGGCGGUGAGGAGUCGAUGGAAAAGGAAGCGAAUGCGUUCNNNNAGACAACUGACUUGUUCCGUAAGGAAGCCACACCUGUGGGGAACCUAUGCUUGUUCCGUAGGAACUUUACAAGUUUGUUUUAAGAGAGAAGAUCUUUUAAUUAAGCAACUUCANNNNNNNNNNNNNNNNNNNNNNNNNNNNNNNNNNNNNNNNNNNNNNNNNNNNNNNNNNNNNNNNNNNNNNNNNNNNNNNNNNNNNNNNNNNNNNNNNNNNNNNNNNNNNNNNNNNNNNNNNNNNNNNNNNNNNNNUAGGAACUUUACAAGUUUGUUUUAAGAGAGAAGAUCUUUUAAUUAAGCAACUUCAUAACAUAAGCAACAUUAGCUAACUCACAAUUCCUAAUUUUAAACCAAACAUGGUUUGUCCAUAUCCAUUGCCUAAAAUUUGUGAUGUGUAACAUCAAAAUAAAUAAAAAUGGCUAAUGAGUUAUAAGUAUUCUAAUGAAUAAGAUAUAUUCUUCAUAAUAAAUGGAAAUCCCAUAUUUUAGGCAUAUCAAUAUGCUACAUUGUACAACAAACAUAUCACAUAUCACAUAGCCAUAUCCAUAUCCAUAUGAUACAAGAAAGAGUGGAUGAAUCCAAAAAUACAAACUAAACAAUUACAGGAAACUAGAGCCUAGAGGAUAUGCCCACAUCUUGUUUUUCUCCUAUAGCUAGCUAAAUACAGAUAGAAAGUGUAAUCAUCCAAUUAAACUUUCCAAUCUUGUCUUUAUUCCUCUUGAUCAAUCAUAUAGUAUUUUGAUAUCAUCGAUGCCACUCCAUUUAUAUUUACCAUAUAAUAGUAACUAGUUAUCUAGAAAUAUAUUAUUGACAUCCAUAAAAAAUGAAGAACGGGUAGAAUGUCUGAAGUGUGGGUACGGGAGUUGUUCUGCUACUAAAAGGUAGAAAAGCCCCAUUACUCCAGCGUGUUCCUUGGUGCUAUUGUAGAUAGAUUCUAGAGUUAAAGUUUCACCAUCAAUUAUUUUGACAGAACCUAGUUUAGGAUAACAAGUGGACAUUCCUACAAUGUAUCCUGCUUCAUUUCCGGCAUCAUUUCCAUUUCCAUAAGUUGGUAUAGAUGAACAUAUAACCCUUCCGUCCUGAAAACAUAAUAUCCACAAAUUUCACUACUUUACAAUGUUUAACUUCUUGAUCAAAAUUUAAAGUCGCAGAACAACAACCCUAGUACAAAAGUAAACAUACAAAAAACGUAAACAGAGAACACAUGAUAUUUGAUCAAUUAGACAAUUCCAUAGUUACCUUUGAAUUAAUUCAUACCUGUAAAAAGUGAUAUCUAAAUUGUACAAUUGUUCUAAAAAAGAUUUGAACUCUAUCUAUUAAAGUUACAAAGUUAAAGUCUUACCAUAAUAAUUGUAACUUGUAACUAUUAUAAAUUACCUGUCCAUAUAGAGUUGAUCCAAUUCCACCCGAAUGUUGAUGAGCAACACCAUAUAUCACAUAGCCACCAAUUUGUAGUGGGAGACUUGUCCUCUUCACAUGAACACAACUAUUUGCCUCAUUAUGGUCUGCAUUGCAAGCUUCAACUAUAUAAUCAAUCUGAAACAAAGAAAUAUGUGUUGCUCACUAUAAAAUUCCCAAUAAAGUAAUUUAUUAGUGUUGCAUGUUUUUGAGUCAAAUUGAGAUUGAAACAAAAAAACUAUAAUGGAUUCAUUUACCAAAUGUUUCUUGAUGAAUUCAUUUACCUUGCAAUUAUGGUCUGAAUUCAUUCCUUUUGAAUCAUCUGAUAGUUUCAAAGUAUCAGUCACAUCAAUUAUAUAUAUCUUAACAGGCACUAUAAAAUCAUCCCAAUCAACCCAUUCCACAGUGUAUUUCAGGUAAAGACUUCUCUUUGGACCCUCAAAACCUUCCUUCAACUUACACUGUGUAUGAUCAUAACAACAUACCAAACCUCCUUUAUAAUCUGGCCUAAUAGACCUUCCAUGUGAAUCCACCGUAACAUUAUAAAGCUCGCACUUACAUUCAGUGCACCCUAACUUAUCCUCCACACCGCGUGUAUCAAUUGCAUGAACAUUAACCAACCAUUUCUCCUCGAACCCUUCCGGAAUCUCUGCAGGAUUCCCUAUCUCUAUUCCAAAAGGAUCCGGAAUAUCGGUCGCUGUUCCUCGUGUUUCGGAUCCAAGACCAAAGUAUUGUGGAAGAGUAUUUCCCUGACAUGUGCCACUGUUCCUAACAGUAUUAUUCCACUGCAAGUUUGCUUUACUUUGAUGAUAUCUUACAACAAGCCAAUGAUGGAGAUAAGUUUCAUGAAGAGGUAUAGGAUUACCAGCUUCAUCAACUACUUCAGCAUUGAAACUCUUGAUUGCUACACGACCUCUUGGAAAAUCAAUAUCAUAAUAAAUUCCAUUAACAACUGAUCCAGGUCCUAGCUCAAAUUUGGGGGACAAAAAAACAGCUGAUUUUAUCUUAGCUUUAGUCUUCAGAAUUGAACCUGAGCAUGAUGUGCUCAACAACAGAAGAAGUAUUGCAAGUGAAGAUACAAAAUUUUCAGACAUAAAAGUAGAACACAUGUUGAUCUGUUAGCAAAAGAACACAGUUGGGGUUUGUUUGUUUGUUGAGGAGAAAUUUAGAGUUUGUCGGUAUCAAAUGGUAGAUUUAACUUAUAUUUAUAGAUCAAUGAAUGAAUGAAAGUGAAGUAAUUUAAAAAAAAGUCAUGUUCUGUUGAACCCAUUGGGAUUGGUCGAGUGGUGUUGGCUUGGGCUCUUGGAGUAUGCUCCUCUCAAGGUCUCAGGUUCGAUUCCCACUGGUGCCAAUUUCGGUGAGCUAAGUCCAUACAGAGCAAAAAAAACUCUGGCUUUAAAUGGGGCCCCCGCAAGUGGGCGGUGGAAUUGGUCCCCUUAAAUUAGUCGGUCCUAAGACCGGAUACCAAGUUUUUAAAAAAAAAAGAGUCAUGUUCUGUUGUUUCCUAGUAGGUAACACUCAUCAAUAGGUUCGUUGCAAAAUUUAAGUAUGCACAGGAAAAACGUUUAACUUACUGUGAGAUCUUACACCUCAUGUUGAUAAUUUAAGGAUAUUUAAGUCACUUCAUAUGCAUAUGACAAAUUAUCAAUGGGUCCUAGUUUGACUAGCGAAAACAGUUUCAAAAUCAAACACAAUAUAAUUGAAAUUAUGUUGUCCAGUCUCUUAUUUUUUAGCAGAUUAAAUGCACAAAUUUUACUCCAUCUAAUCUAACCUUAGUUUUGCGAGCUUAAUUAUAACUUAUAAGUAAAUAUUUCACUCAUUUAAUAACCGGUUAAAUACAUCGGUUUUAUUCAAUAAAUCUAUAAAAAAGAAGUGACAAAAUUACACCAUGAGUCAUUUAUCUUAUUUAUUUCUAAUAGAUUUGUCGGGUAUUUUUUUUUUAAAAAAAAAAACUGAUCACCUAUCUUGAUAAAUGUGCACAAUUUAAUCAUUUAUCAUAUUUAUUUGUAAUAUAUUCAUCUAUUAUCUUAUUUAUUUGUAACAUAUUCGUCCUUUAUCUUUUUUUCUUUUCCCACACAUGUCAUUUAUCUUUAUAAAUGUGCACAACUUAAUUUUUUAUCUUAUUUAUUUGUAACAUAAUAAAAUGUUUGAAACAUGGAACAAGGUGUUCUUGCGAUGAAGCACCGACACCUCUAUGAUUAGGCGUGUCGCGAUGUCCGACACGUGUCGGUGUCCGACACACGUAUGACACUCGUACGACACGUGUCGGAUAGCUCAGAUCGGUGUCCAUAAAAACUCAAUUUUUCAAUAAAUAACUUGCUCAACUUAGAUUUACAUGUAUAUAUUUUGACUCUCAAUUUAUAUUUUUUAUAAAUAUGUAGCGGUGUCGGUGUUCUAUAUUUUUUACAAUAGCGGUGUCGCGGCGUCCGUGUCGGUGUCGUGUCGCAGUGUCCGUGUCGGAGUCUGUGCUUCAUAGCUUGCGAGUAUAUUUGGAAAGACACUAAAGGUUGGAUUUUAAAUGUUAGUGGUUAAGUCGAAUGUUGGAUAUACAAGAGAAGUGACUCAUGAACUAAUACCUUAAAGUUUUGUGUAGAGAUACGACGUCUCCCUCUCAUGUGAUCCUGGAGUAUUAACUCAUUGUUACUUUCGACGCUACCUGAACUCUCCAGUAAAUGGUAUCAAAACUGUGGUUCGAUAGUGUUUAUAAAAUUUGAUCACCUCUCUUCUUACAAGCAGAUUUUAUAAGAUCGAAUUAGACUCAAGUUAAAUUCUAACAAAACCCUUUGAUUGUUACUAUUCUCUGCACUCUGCAGAUGUCCUGUUAUUCUUCUGGACUGCCUUAAUCUCAUGACUUGUGUGAGAAUUAACUACAAGAGAAUAGUAAAAAUAUGCUAAUAAUAACAACCAUGGCUUGAAUGUGGUUGAACACUUCUGGCUUGAAUUCAGUAUAAUCUUGAAGGCCGUUCUCUUUAUUUAUUUAGCAAAUCCUUGAAUAUUAAUAUUGGUUACUCCAAGGCUAAUAUUUAGAUAUAAUUUAUCUCAAUUUAAGCCAUUGGAUAUAUCUUUUUUUAACUUCUGAGUCUCGUCAUACAUUACCUGUGUAUAUAUAGUGUAUAUCUAUCUGUCUGAUUUAAGGGGCUAUAAAAUAUUUAUGCCAGGAUCCUGUUUGUUACACUACACAGUAAGAUUACUACAGAUGCNNNNNNNNNNNNNNNNNNNNNNNNNNNNNNNNUUUCAGAUCAGAGAUUAGUUCUAUAAAAAUGUGUUAAUCUAUUACUAUCACUUUCUACCCUUGAGGCCUUGACAAAUGAGUUCAUUCUCACUAUUGAAAUGAGAGGAAGUGACGGGGACCAGAGUUGAGGCGAAGUUACAAACGUAGGGAGCAGCGACGGUUGAGCUAUGAACGAGGAAGCAAAUGUGGGUUCACAAUUUUGCCAAGGGUGGCAGACAACUGACUUGUUCCGUAAGGAAGCCACACCUGUGGCAGGACCCUAUACUUGUUCCAUAGCCACUUUGCAUGUACGUUUCAAGAGAGAAGAUCUUUUAAGCAACUUUAGGACAUAAACAACAUUAGCUACUCACAAUUCCUAAUAUUAAACAUCAAAAUAAAUUUGUGAUGUGUAACAUCAAAAUAAAUAAAAAUGGCUAAUGGGUUAUAAGUGUUCUAAUGAAACAGAAAUAUUCUUCAUAAUAAAUGGAAAUCCCAUUAUUUUAAGCAUAUCAAUAUGCUUUUUAUUUUUUGAAACAUAAGCAUAUCAAUAUGCUACAUUGUACAACAAACAUACCACAUAGCCAUAUCCAUAUGAUACCAGAAAGAGUGGAUGAAUACAAAAAUACAAACUAAACAAUUACAGGAAACUAGAGGAUAGAAUGUCUAAAGUGCUGGUAUAUGGGAGUUGUUCGGCUACUAAAAGGUAGAAAAGCCCCAUUACUCCAGCGUGUUCCUUGGUGUUAUUGUAGAUAGAUUCUAGAGUUAAAGUUUCACCAUCGAUUAUCUUGACAGAACCUGGUUGAGGAUAACAAGUGGACAUUCCUACAAUGUGCCCUACUUCAUUUCCUGCUUCAUUCCCAUUUCCAUAAAUUGGUAUAGAUGAACAUAUAACCCUCCCGUCCUGAAAACAUAAUCCACAAAUUUCACAAAACAAGCUACUGCACAAUGUUUAACUACUUGAUCAAAGGUAAAAGUACUAGAAAACAACCCUGGUACAAAAGUAAACAUUCGAAAAACGACCAAGUAUUGAAGUUACAAACUCAAAGUCUUACCACUACCAAAUAUUUAAGAAUGACAAUAAGUUGUAACUAUUGCAAAUUACCUGUCCAUAUAGAGUUGAUCCAAUUCCGCCCGAAUGUUGAUGAGCAACCCCAUAGAUCACAUAGCCACCUGUUUGAAAUGGGAGAUUUGUCCUCUUUACAUGAACACAACCAUUUUCCUCCUUGUGGUCUGUACUGCAUGAUUCUACUUGAUACUCAACCUGAAACCAAAAAAAAUUCCAUGUUGCUUACUAUAAAACCCAACAAAGUAGAGUUUUAGAGUUAAAUAGAGAUUUAGACAAACAAACUACAUAUAUAGUUGAGAGACUCGACAUUCACACAAUCAGUACACCGGUAGCCGUUGGAUUGAGAUUGGACCAUCAUAGAUUCCAAGUGCGGUAUUUUGGAUUUUCAAACAAUCAAAAUCAUAUAUUUUGGGAAAUGUCCGAUUUUUAACCAACAGUCACUGGUGCAUUGAAUACGUGAAAGCAGGGUAUCCCAACUACACUGAACCCAUUUCAACUAACCAAAUGUUUCUUGAUAAAUUCAUUUACCUUGCAAUUAUGAUCUGAGUUCGUUCCUUUUGAAUCAUCUGAUAGUUUCAAAGUAUCAGUCACAUCAAGUACAUAUAUCUUAACAGGCACUAUAUAAUCAUCCCAAUCAAUCCAUUUCACUUUGUAUCUUAAGUAGAGGCUUCUCUUUGGACCCUCAAAACCUUCCUUCAGCUUGCACUGUGUAUUAUCAUAACAACAUAACAAACCUCCUUUAUAAUCUGGUCUAAUAGACCUUCCAGAUUCAUCGAUUGUAACAUUAUAAAGGUCACACUUACACUCGGUGCACCCUGAUUUAUCCUCUGCGCCGCGAUUAUCAAUAGCAUGAAUAUUAACCAGCCAUUUCUCCUCAAACUCUUCUGGAAUCUCUGCAGGAUUACCUAUCUCUAUUCCAAAAGGAUCCGGAAUAUCAGUCGCCGUUCGUCGUGUUUCGGAUCCAAGGCCAAAGUAUUGUGCAUAAAUAGUUCCCUGACACAUGCCACUGUUCCUAAAAGUAUUUUUCAAAUGCGAGUUUGCUUUACUUUGAUGAUAUCUUACAACAACCCAAUGAUGGAGAUAAGUUUCAUGGAGAGGUAUAGGAUUACCAGCUUCAUCAACUACUUCAGCAUCGAAACUCUUGAUUGCUACAUGACCUCUUGGAAAAUCAAUAUCAUAAUAAAAUCUAUUAACAACUGAUCCAGGUCCUAGCUCAAAUUUGGGGGAUAAGAAAACAGCUGAUUUUAUCUUAGCUUUAGUCUUCAGAAUAGAACCUGAGCAAGAUGUGCUCAACAACAGAAGAAGUAUUGAAAGUGAAAAUACAAAAUUUCCAGACAUAGAACACAUGUUGAUCUUAGCAAAAUCUUGCAUGAUAGUCCUCCCUGGAAGCCUUUAAAAAAGUGAAUUAAACUACAAAAUAAACAAAACAGAUAAUAUAUGGCAGAUCAUAUCACCAAAUAAACUAACUACACAAAUAAGCAUGAAAAAGACAUAGUUUGAACAAAAUCAUCAUCAUCAAGAUUUUAAAUUAGUCACAUGGCAACUUAUAAAUACAGUUGAAGUUGAUUCAGCUUCAAUUGCAAUCACAACUAGUCAUCAAAAUUUUGAUGUUGUGACUACAAUUGUUGUCACAGAACAUAACAUUUUUAAAACAUAAACUUAUGAUCAAGCAACUUUGUUUUAUAUUAAAAAAAAAAGUAUAAUUAGCAAUAUUAGAUAGUGAUUAUAGAAACUAAUGACCAAAAAGGAUUAGAGUAUAUGAUCAAGAAUAGAUAGAUGAGAUUGCAUACCUCAAGAAAGUCUGGAAAAUGACAGAGUCUGGAAAUUUAGAGUGUGUCGGUAUUAAAUAGUAGAUAAGAUAAUGAAUGAGUGAAUGAAUGCAAGUGUAGAGAUUGUAAUUCAAUAUUUUAAAUUAUCUUUUCUUUCCUUUUUGGGACACGCAGCCCCUAAAUAUAUUUAGCCGACUAAAUUAAUAUAUUUAAAUAGCUUAAGCAUUUUAUUAAAAAUAAAUGGUAUAAUCAACUUCUGAUAAUGUCUAAUUUUUUUUUUUAAGUAAAAAUGGAAAGCAUGACAUCAUAGUAAGUCAUCGACAUCCCAACUAUAUUGACACCUCAGUGCACUAUCACUCCUCUAUUAUCUCACCAAAAAUAUACUUCAUAAUUUGUCUUAUCCUUUUAACAAUUACUAGUAAUUAUUCAUUGACAAUGAUAUGUUGGUGCUCCCAUCCCACCUCUAAAAAAAAUUUCUCCAUCUUCAAAAAUAUAUAAGAAAAUGAUAAAGAAAAUGAGUGGCUGAUAAGCUCUAUAUUAUUCUAAAUACUAAAUUUAUCCGUUGAAAUUUUUUAAAUUCAGAACUACUUCACAAAGUGAUAUCUUACGUAUUUUCUAUAUAGGAGCAUAAGUGUCUUCACAAAAUACUAAUUCCUUUAGUUCAAUUUUUCUACCCAACCAAACAAGCAAAGAGAACACUUAUCUUUUCUUACCCAGUUUCUCUUUUCUCGAAUACAUAGGUGUUAUUCAAAAAUCUAAAAAAAUGUGACAAAAUUAUACUAGGAGUUAUUUAUCUUUAUUAUUGAUUUUUAUUGCGAAGUUGUAGUGCACCAUUCUUAUCGUGGAGCAAACUUUUGUGCGGAUACAUUGACAAAUUACGAGUGUUUAUUGGAUAAAAAGAUGAAAUUUUAAGAGUCAUAUCCGGUGAAUUUUAGUCAUUUGUUAAUUACUAAUGUAAUUGGGAGAAUUUCUUCCGCUAUAUUAAUCUUGUGUAAUCUUUUUUCUCUUUUCUCGAAUACAUAGGUGUUAUUCAAAAAUCUAAAAAAAUGUGACAAAAUUAUCCUAGGAGUUAUUUAUCUUUAUCUUCUUUUUUCCCCAAAUUGAUCACUUAUCUUUAUAAAUGUGCACAACUAAAUCUUUUAUCAUAUUUGUUUGUAACAUAUUCAUCAAUUAUUUUAUUUAUUUAUAACAUAUUCAUCCUUUAUCUUAUUUUUUAUCUCACACGUGUCAUUUAUCUUUAUAAAUGUGUACGAAUAUUUCAAAGGGAUGGGCUGCAAUAUUUCAAUGUUUGGUCGCGAGGUAAGGAAAGUUUGACAAAAAAUUUAUUCCCACCAAAUAUCGAACUCAGGUUCUCCCGAACAAUUCAUCCUUAAGGGAGCUAAUUUACUCUAUAUUAUCCAAUAAACAUGGAUGUUCUUGCGAGUAUAUUUGGAAAGACACUAAAUGUUGGAUUUUAAAUGUUAGUGGUUCAGUCGAAUGUUGGAUAUAAAAUGUUGCGAGUAUAUCAGAACUGUGGUUCAAUAGUGUUUAUAAAAUUUGGACACCACUCUCUUACAAGCCGAUUUUAUAAGAUCGAAUUAAACUAACUCAAAUUCUAACCAAACCCUUUGAUUGAUUGUUACUAUGUCUGCACAAGAUCUGUUAUUCUUUUGUAUUGCCUUAAUCUCAUGACUUGUGUAUAUCUAUCUUUCUGAUUUAAGGGGCUAUAAAAUAUUUAUUCCAGGAUCCUGUUUGUUACACUACACUGUAAGAUUGUUUCAGAUGCUAAAUUAGCGUUUCAGAUCAGAGAUUAGUUCUAUAACAAUGUGUUAACCUAUUACUAUCACUUUCUACCCUUGAGGCCUUGACAAAUGAGUUUGUUCUGACUAUUGAAACGAGAGAGACGAACAUGGACAAAAACUAACCUAAUUGAAAUGCAAUGGUGACAACUGAGNNNNNNNNNNNNNNNNNNNNNNNNNNNNNNNNNNNNNNNNNNNNNNNNNNNNNNNNNNNNNNNNNNNNNNNNNNNNNNNNNNNNNNNNNNNNNNNNNNNNNNNNAUAUCUAUAUCCAUAUAUGAUACUUAUCACAUAGCCAUAUAACAUAUUCAUAUAUGAUACAAGAAAGAGUGGAUGAAUCCAAAAAUACAAACUGUAUAUCACUAAAACUAGAGAAUAUGCUCACCUCUUGUUUUUCUCCUAUAGCUAGCUACAUACAAAGAGAAAAAAGUGUAAUUAUCCAAUUACACUUUCCAAUCUUGUCUUUAUUCCUCUCAAGUCUUAACCAACCAUAUGGUAAUUUAAUAUCAUGUCACUCCGCUUAUAUUACCAUUUAUUUACAUCCAUAAAAAAUGAAGAACGAGUAGAAUGUCUAAAGUGUUGGUAUGGGAGUUGUUCUGCUACUAAAAGGUAGAAAAGCCCCAUUACUCCAGAGUGUUCCUUGGUGUUAUUGUAGAUAGAUUCUAGAGUUAAAGUUUCACCAUCGAUUAUCUUGACAGAACCUGGUUGAGGAUAACAGGUGGACAUUCCUACAAUGUACCCUACUUCAUUUCCUGCUUCAUUCCCAUUUCCAUAAGUUGGUAUAGAUGAACAUAUAACCCUACCGUCCUGAAAACAUAAUUCACAAAUUUCACAAAACAAGCUACUGCACAAUGUUUAACUUCUUGAUCAAAAGUAAAAGUACUAGAAAACAACCCUGGUACAAGAGUAAACAGAUACGAAAAACGACCAAGUAUUGAAGUUUCAAAGUCAAAGUCUUACCACUAUCAAGUAUUUAAGAAUGACUAUAAGUUAUAAAUAUUGCAAAUUACCUGUCCAUAUAGAGUCGAUCCAAUUCCACCUGAAUGUUGAUGAGCAACAGCAUAUAUCACAUAGCCACCAGUUUGUAAUGGGAGAUUUGUCCUCUUUACAUGAACACAACCAUUUUCCUCCUUGUUGUUUGUACUGCAAGAUUCUACUUGAUACUCAUUCUGAAACCCAAAAAAAAACCAUGUUGCUCACUAUAUAAUACCCAACAAAGUAAUGGACUAGUGUUAUGUUUUAGAGUUAAAUUCAGAUUUAGACAAACAAACUACAUAUAUAAUUCCCUAUAAUUUAGAUACUCUACAUUCACACAAUCAGCAGACCAGUAACCGUAUUGGAUGAUCAAAGAUUCAAAGCGCGGUAUUUUGGAUUUUAAAACAAUCAAAAUCUAUAUAUUUUGUGAAUUGUCCGAUUUUUAUCCAACAGUACUGGUGCAUUGACUACGUGAAAGCGGUGUAUCCCAACUACACAUAACCCAUUUCAACAAACCAAAUGUUUCUUGAUGAACUCAUUUACCUUGCAAUUAUGAUCUGAGUUUGUUCCUUUUGAACCAUCUGAUAGUUUCAAAGUAUCACUCACAUCAAAUAUAUAUAUCUUAACAGGCACUAUAUAAUCAUCCCAAUCAAUCCAUUUCACUGUGUAUCUUAAGUAGAGGCUUCUCUUUGGACCCUCAAAACCUUCCUUCAGCUUGCACUGUGUAUAAUCAUAACAACAUAACAAACCUCCUUUAUAAUCUGGCCUAAUAGACCUUNNNNNNNNNNNNNNNNNNNNNNNNNNNNNNNNNNNNNNNNNNNNNNNNNNNNNNNNNNNNNNNNNNAUCUGGCCUAAUAGACCUUCCAUAUGAAUCCACCGUAACAUUAUAAAGGUCACACUUACACUCAGUACACCCUGAUUUAUCCUCUGCGCCACGCGUAUCAAUAGCAUGAAUAUUAACCAUCCAUUUCUCCUCAAACCCUUCCGGAAUCUCUGCAGGAUUACCUAUCUCAAUUCCAAAAGGAUCCGGAAUAUCAGUCGCUGUUCCUCGUGUUUCGGAUCCAAGGCCAAAGUACUGUCCAAGAGUAUCUCCCUGACAUAUGCCACUGUUCCUAACAUGAACUCUAUCAGAGUAUUUACUUUGAUGAUAUCUUACAACAAGCCAAUGAUGGAGAUAAGUUUCAUGGAGAGGUACAGGAAUACCAGCUUCAUCAACAACUUCAGCAUUGAAACUCUUGAGUGCUAUAUGACCUCUUGGAAAGUCAAUAUCAUAAUAAAAUCUAUUGCUAACUAAUCCAGGUCCUAGCUCAAAUUUAGGGGACAAAAAAACAGCUGAUUUUAUCUUAGCUUCAGUCUUCAGAAUAGAACCUGAGCAUGAUGUGCUCAACAACAGAAGAAGUAUUGCAAGUGAAAAUACAAAAUUUCCAGACAUAGAAGUGGAACACAUGUUGAUCUGUUAGCAAAAUCUUUAUUAGUAAUUAUUAUUAAUAAAACAUUAAAGAGCCGAUUGUGCUCAUAAAAUUCAUUGACAUGUAAAGUACAAUAGAAUUAUUAUGCAAUUAAAUGAGUAUAAUGAUCAAAAGAUAAAUCUUGCAAAAAAGUCCUCUUAGGAAGCCUUUAAAGAAUUGAAGUAAGCCAAAGAAUAAACAAGAUGUACAAAAUUACUAACUACACAAAUAAGCAUGAAAAAGACAUAGUUUGAACAGACUGACUACAAUUGUGGUGACAGAAGAACAGAACACUUUAAAAACAUUAAUUAUUAUAUGACAUAACUUGUGACCAAACAAACUUGUUUUAUAUAAACGAAGUUUUUUUUUUUGGUCAAGUAGCCUGGUGGCUAGAAAAUCCACUUUAAAGGUGAAUAAGUGGAGUGCUCAGGUUCGAACCCAGGCUCCUGCACAUAUAGUGCGAUGUCCCUAUCAACUGAGUUAAGUUCACGAGCACAUACAAAGUUAUAAUUAGCAAUAUUAGAUGGAGAUUAUAGAAACUAAUGACCAAACAAAAAGGAUGGAGUAUUGUGCAAGUAUAUGAUCAAGACUCAAGAAUAGAUAAAUGAAAGUAAAAAGUAGUACUAAUAUAGAACUUAACACCAAACUGAGACAUGUAAAAAGUGAAGAAAAAUUGAAGGAACAGAAGCAAUAGGCAACAAGAGGAUGGAGAAGAGAUUGUAUAC